CCUACGGGUGGCUGCAGUAAGGAAUAUUGGUCAAUGGACGCAAGUCUGAACCAGCCAUGCCGCGUGGAGGAUGAAGGUCCUCUGGAUUGUAAACUUCUUUUAUUUGGGAAGAAACUCCCGCUUUCCAUCGGGAUUGACGGUACCAGAUGAAUAAGCACCGGCUAACUCCGUGCCAGCAGCCGCGGUAAUAAGGAGGGUGCAGGCGUUAUCGGGAUUCACUGGGGCGUAGGGGGGCGGGGGAGUGCGGGUUGAAAUCUCCGGGCUUAACCCGGGAACUGCCAUUGAUACUAUUUGUCUUGAAUACUCUGGAGGUGAGCGGAAUAUGUCAUGUAGCGGUGAAAUGCUUAGAUAUGACAUAGAACACCCAUUGCGAAGGCAGCUCACUACGGAAAUAUUGACGCUGAGGCACGAAAGCGUGGGGAUCAAACAGGAUUAGAUACCCCUGUAGUC
rnacentral:rRNA from 1 species